UUUUAUUUAUUUUUUAUUAUAAAUUUUAUGCUUUUUAUAAUAUUUUAUAUGUUUUAGUAUUUUUACAAUAUUUUAAUAACUUUCUAUCUUUUUAAAUAUUUAUUACCAUUUUUAUUUUUAAUUCAAAUAAUUUAUUUUUUUCCAAUUUUCUAUAUUUUAUAAUAUUUUUAAUAAUAUUUUAUAUAUUUAAAUAUUUUUUCAUAAUUUUAAUUUUUUUAAAUUUUUCAUAAUUUAUAUGUUUUUUUAAUUUUUAUUUUAGUACUUUUUAAUGCUUUUCACAAUUUUUAAUAAUUUUUAUAAUUUAUAUUUUUUUUUCGUUUAUAAUCAUUUUUAUAAUUUAUAUAUAUAUCUGCAAUUUUAUAUAUUUUAUAAUUUUUGCAAUUUUUAUAUUUUAUAAAAUAAUUUUGUAAUACUCCAAACUCGGCCUUAACGUUAUGACCAAAUCUAGAGAUGCUAUGAAGAUACAUUAAAAAAAAUCUAGAAUCUGUUGAUUUUAUAAAAUGAUACUUGCCCUUAUUUAGUAAAAUCUGAGUUUAUUUGAGAAAUUUAUCGUUUUGAUGGGUUUGUCAAUUAUUUACUCAUAAAACUAGUCGAAUCCAAUUUGAAAACACGAUUUUUUUUGUUGUUGUAAAAUCCAUUAUUCAACAAUUCAAUUUUCAACCCACCAACGAGGAAAUCACACAGGACUUCCUGCUAACCUACCAUCUUUUUUCAAGAGUUCAAACCCAAUCCAACACCACCAACUCGACAGCACAUUAAGGGCUAACAAAAAUAAAUUAGAGACUCAAACGAUAAAUUAACAUCUUAUCGUUGAACUAGUAAACUCAUUCUAUCACAAAUUGAUCAAAAAUAGUAUUUAAGUGGUAAGGAACAAGAUAAGGAUAAAAGACAAAAAUAAUAAAAUUUCUUAAAAAUGAGAUUUGAACCCUAAUCAGUAAAACAAAUACUUAUUCAUGACAUAAAUUAACAAAUUAAAAAUUCAUAUUUUUGGGUCUUAAAAGUUUUUAAUAAAUUAUAAUUACUUGAUUCCAGUUUCUUUAUUAUGCCCAAAUUUAAGAUUAAGCCCUAUAUUUUAAUUUUGACAUAAUUUGAUUUAUUUAUUUUUAUAAUGUCAUUAGUUAUCUUAAAUCGCUAACAUUAUUAGCUAUGCCAAGUAAAAUAACAUCGCGUAUUUUUUUUCUUAAAAUCAUCACUUCUAACUAAAUAAUGGCUUAAUCACUUUUUUAACUAAUUAUACUAACAUAGAUUUUUUUUAGUUGGAACGAGUAUGUUUAAGGAAAAAUCACCUCAACACUUUACUUGAAAUUAGUAAUCACAUUAAUUAUUUGGACUAACUAAAUCAUUACUGAAUCACCUUCUAACUAAUUAUAGUAAUGUAUAUAUUUAAGAAAAAGCUCACUUUAAUGUUUUAACUGAAAUUAUUAACCGUGUUAAUUACUUAAACUAACUAAUGAAAAAUAUUUCAAAUUAAUUUAUACUGAAUAACUCUCAAAUCCAAGUAUAAUAAAAUAAUAUGACUAACUCAAACUUGGCGUUGAAUUGAGUUUGGGAGUAAAAUAAUCACAUCACUCAUUGGCAAAGCAUGACUGUGAUUAUGAUAUGGUUUUUCGAAGUAUAACUAUGGUGGAGUUGAUAGCAUUGAUUAGAAUACCUUUAUAAAUGAAUAUAUAACAUUUAAUCAUGUAUAUAUUUUUAAUAAUUUAAUAACUUAAAAAAACACCACACUUUAUUAUAUAUGUAAAAUGUAAAUAGAAGCUACAUUCUUAUUUCAUGAAAUAACAUCAUAGAGAAUGUGAUGGCAGAGUUCAUUCUCAGUAAUAUAUGUGAUACUAAUUAGGAAUCAAACUGUCUUCAAUGGCUGGAUGGAGGUGGAGGUGGAGGUGGAGACAUGAAAGGAAUGGAAGGCAAGCUGCUACUGGGAAGUGGUGGAAGAACAGUGAUAGGCUUAGGCUAAGAUGGUGGGAUUGUUGGUAGCUUCGGGAUUCAAGGCAAUGGAGGUAUGCAGGGUUGAGCUGAGAAUGAUGGUAGAUCUAGGAUUGAAGGCAAUGGAAGUAUGUUGGGCAACUUACGAAGUGGUGGUAGUUCUAAGUUCUGGGAUUGAAGGAAAUGGUGGUGGUUCUGGGAUUAAAGGAAGUGGUGACAUCGGAGGUGGCAAUGGUACCGGUAAAUAUGCAGAUGGCAAUGGUACUGGUAAAAAUGGAGGUGGCAAUGGUAUUGGCGACAAUGGAGGUAGCAAUGGUACUGGUGACAAUGGUAUUGGCGACAAUGGAGGUGGCAAUGGUAUUGGUGGAAAUGGAGGUGGCACUUGCUGAAGAUUUCGGGUUGCUAGGCUAACCUCCAUGCUUGAAAAACCCAAGGAAAUGAAGCAGGCUAAUAAAAUGAAAACGUUGGAAGCUGCCAUUUUUUUUUGGAGAGAUGAACUAAAGAUUGAAGAUUUGAGUUGAGGAAAGCAGGAUUGGUUUCGGGUAUUUAUAGCCACAUUUGAAGGAGUUUUUUAAUUAUUUGUUUGAGAUAUUACUCCCCUACUUAGCUUACUACCUUC
rnacentral:lncRNA from 1 species